rnacentral:misc_RNA from 1 species
GAUGAAGAACGUAGCGAAAUGCGAUAAGUAAUGUGAGUUGCAGAAUUCAGUGAAUCAUCGAAUCUUUGAACGCACAUUGCGCCCGCCAGUAUUCUGGCGGGCAUGCCUGUUCGAGCGUCAUUUCAACCAUCAAGCCCCAGGCUUGUGUUGGGGACCUGCGGCUGCCGCAGGCCCUGAAAACCAGUGGCGGGCUCGCUGUCACACCGGGCGUAGUAGAUUUUAUCUCGCUCAGGGCGUGCUGCGGGUCCCGGCCGUUAAAAGCCUUUUUUUACCCAAGGUUGACCUCGGAUCAGGUAGGAAGACCCGCUGAACUUAAGCAUAUCAAUAAGCGGAGGA